AGCUCAAAGUAUUUAUUUUGGGUGAGGCCUGCUCAAUGCCUUGGUAAAUAGCCGCAGUACCCUGACUGUGCUAAGGUAGCAUAAUAGAUUGGCUUUUAAAUGGAGUCUGGAAUGAAAGGAUAAAUAGGGAAUAGCUGUCUCUUUUGUAUUAAAUUUAAUUUACUUAUAAGGUGAAAAUGCCUUUACUUAGAAAAAAGACGAGAAGACCCCUGGAGCUUUUAUUAAAAAGUAUUUUAUACUUUUUGUUUUUGUUGGGGCGACAGUAGGAGAUGUAAACUCCUUUAUACAUAUAUGAAGAAUAAUCUUAAGGAUAAAUAAGCUACCCUGGGGAUAACAGCGUAAUUAAAUUUUAGUUUGCGACCUCGAUGUUGGACUAGGAAAUUUUUAGGCUAGUCGCCUAUUUUUUUUGUUCUGUUCGAACUUAAUUCCUCC
rnacentral:rRNA from 1 species